AAUCUUAUAGUAUAAAUUUAAAGAUACAUUAAUUUGCAAAAUUAAAAAUGUUAAAAACUAAGAUUU
rnacentral:tRNA from 1 species